CAGUCGCCGCGGUAAUACGGAGGGAGCUAGCGUUGUUCGGAAUUACUGGGCGUAAAGCGCGCGUAGGCGGUUACUCAAGUCAGAGGUGAAAGCCCGGGGCUCAACCCCGGAACUGCCUUUGAAACUAGGUGACUAGAAACUUGGAGAGGUCAGUGGAAUUCCGAGUGUAGAGGUGAAAUUCGUAGAUAUUCGGAAGAACACCAGUGGCGAAGGCGACUGACUGGACAAGUAUUGACGCUGAGGUGCGAAAGCGUGGGGAGCAAACAGGAUUAGAUACCCGAGUAGUCCCUGUCUCUUAUAC
rnacentral:rRNA from 1 species